rnacentral:rRNA from 1 species
AUUGAACGCUGGCGGCAGGCCUAACACAUGCAAGUCGAACGAGUGGCGGACGGGUGAGUAAUGUCUGGGAAACUGCCUGAUGGAGGGGGAUAACUACUGGAAACGGUAGCUAAUACCGCAUACCAUCAGAUGUGCCCAGAUGGGAGUAGCUUGUUGGUGGGGUAACGGCUCACCAAGGCGACGAACCCUAGUUGGUCUGAGAGGAUGACCGGCAACACAGGAACUGAGACACGGUCCAGAGGCGUACGGGAGACAGCAGUUGGGAAUAAUGCACAAUGGGGGCAAGCCUGAUGCAGCCAUGCCGAGUGUAUGAAGAAGGCCGUCGGGUUGUAAAGUACUUUCAGCGGGGAGGCGUUACCCGCAGAAGAAGCACCGGCUAACUCCGUGCCAGCAGCCGCGGUAAUAC